GUUGCUGACUACAAAUGCAGUCUGCAUAAAAGAAAUCAUACAGUUUGUUAUUAUAUUCUUUCCGGACAAAACCAUAUUCAAGAAUAGAUCUACCAACAAGUAAGUAGCCACAAAACGAUACAAGUUUACCUGAGAUGUAUGUCUUAUAUCUGAAUGGUGCGCUUCAAAGCCACCACCAGAAGCAACAGAUUCACCUGCGGCUCUUCUGCCAUUCUGAAGCAUAUUUCUUUGAGCGUCAGGAGUUGAAUCAGUUGGUUUAUUGGACUGACUUUGUUCAGAAACUGGACCUUUAGCCUCUUCAUAGUUAGAGACAAGAGAGCGUCCACUGUCGACCAGUCGAGAAGAUUCACCACUCGUAAGAGGAGGACCUCCCGAGGCUAGGCAUGUCCAGAGCCAUACGUAUUUGGCAGCAGCAAUAAGCGGAGGCGAGGCACGUGGAGGCUGAGCAAGGAGAAUAGUGUACCUCCUCAUGCUUAGCUGGUGGAGAGCAUUGGAGAAGUCUCUAUCGCCGGAGAUGAGCAUGAAGUUGGCUGGUGCAGGGUUGUCUACAGCCCACAGUAACAUGUCCACUAGUAUCUUCUUGUCGCUCGCAUCUUUCACUCCUGUUAUUAAUACACCACCCAAACAACACAAGUUAAAUCUUUCAUGUUCGACACUAAAAACAAUGAGAUGUGAUCACAGUUAAAAAAAAAAAACUAAGAUCAUCAUCUAAGCAACAUAAACUCAAAAAAAAAACACUCUUAAGAUCAAACAAAACUCUGUGAACUCCAAAAAAAUUAAAAAUAAUUAACUCCAAAGU